AGAGUUUGAUCCUGGCUCAGAACGAACGCUGGCGGUAUGCUUAACACAUGCAAGUCGGACGCGAAAGUUUCUUCGGAAGCGAGUAGAGUGGCGCACGGGUGAGUAACACGUAGAUAACCUGCCCUUCAGUCCGGGACAACCUUCUGAAAAGGGGGCUAAUACUGGAUAAUACUUAUUAACGAGUGUUUUUAAGAAAGAUUUAUUGCUGGGGGAUGGGUCUGCGCACCAUUAGCUGGUUGGUAGGGUAACGGCUUACCAAGGCUACGAUGGUUAGCGGGUCUGAGAGAUGGUCCGCCACACUGGAACUGAGACACGGUCCAGACUCCUACGGGAGGCAGCAGUGGGGAAUUUUGCGCAAUGGGCGUAAGCCUGACGCAGCAAUACCGCGUGAGUGAAGAAGGCCUUUGGGUCGUAAAGCUCUUUUUUUCAGGGAAGAUGAUGACGGUACCUGAAGAAUAAGCGCCGGCUAACUCCGUGCCAGCAGCCGCGGUAAUACGGAGGGCGCGAGCGUUGUUCGGAUUUACUGGGCGUAAAGGGCGCGUAGGCGGCAUAACAAGCUAAGGGUGAAAUCCCGGGGCUCAACUCCGGAACUGUUCUUAGAACUGUUAAGCUAGAGAUAGUUAGAGGCGGGUGGAAUUCCUGGUGUAGAGGUGAAAUUCGUAGAUAUCAGGAGGAACACCGGAGGCGAAGGCGGCCCGCUGGGACUAUUCUGACGCUGAGGCGCGAAAGCGUGGGGAGCGAACGGGAUUAGAUACCCCGGUAGUCCACGCCGUAAACGAUGAAUACCGGCUGUUUGGGAAAUCGACCUUCCAAGUGGCGCAGCUAACGCGUUGAGUAUUCCGCCUGGGGAUUACGGUCGCAAGACUAAAACUCAAAGGAAUUGACGGGGGCCCGCACAAGCGGUGGAGCAUGUGGUUUAAUUCGACGCAACGCGAAGAACCUUACCUGGGUUUGACAUCCCCUGCUUGUCACAGAGAUGUGAUUUUCUCUUCGGAGACAGGGUGACAGGUGCUGCAUGGCUGUCGUCAGCUCGUGUCGUGAGAUGUUGGGUUAAGUCCCGCAACGAGCGCAACCCUUGUCCUUAGUUGCCAGCACAUAAUGGUGGGAACUCUAAGGAGACUGCCGGUGUUAAGCCGGAGGAAGGUGGGGAUGACGUCAAGUCCUCAUGGCCUUUAUAUCCAGGGCUACACACGUGCUACAAUGGUGACUACAAAGAGUCGCGAAGCCGCGAGGUGGAGCUAAUCUCAAAAAAGUCAUCUCAGUUCGGAUUGCAAUCUGCAACUCGGUUGCAUGAAGUUGGAAUCGCUAGUAAUCGUAGAUCGGCGUGCUACGGUGAAUACGUUCCCGGGCCUUGUACACACCGCCCGUCACACCAUGGGAGUUGACAUUAGCAGAAUACAUUGAGCUAACUUUCGAGAGGCAGGUGUAGAAGCUAGUGUUGAUGACUGGGGUGAAGUCGUAACAAGGUA
rnacentral:rRNA from 1 species